rnacentral:lncRNA from 1 species
CUAUCAAUAGAGGGUGCCACUCUGAUGCUCGCUUAUGAACUUCCUCAAUCAGACCACUUUCUUACCAGCAUUAGAUGCCAAAAUGUACUCUACCUCGUAUUGGCUACGAUAUGUUACUUGAAAUUUUUUCAGCAGAUUGCUCCUUCAUUUAGGAUAAACACAUAGCCAGACACACUUUUGCCAUUAUCAUGAUCUAAUUAAAAUUGGAAUCAAUAUAUCCUAUAAGUUUCAAAUCAAUAUCUCCAU